rnacentral:sRNA from 1 species
UUGUAUACGGAGUGGCCCUCAUUCGAUUAUUUUCCGCAGCGAUCUCAAUUCUGGGUGCUGGGUGUCCUCACACCUCGGCAGCCUCAGACUCCACAAUCCACUCCGUCUUUGAAUAAUCACAAUCAGGAUGUUUAUAGUUAGUUAAUAACAAUUUUUGUUCAACGGGAUUGAAGCCAUUGACGAAGCGAAUACAGCCAACCAAAGAUAUACCCAAGAAAUAAAAUCCCCUCUAGGACAAUACGACGCAAACCGCAGCAAAGCUCAGCGAGGAAUGAAACACCGUUGGCCCUGGCCGUCCCGCAC